rnacentral:rRNA from 1 species
AGGCAGCAGUUCAGAAUCUUGCACAAUGGGCGAAAGCCUGAUGCAGCCAUGCCGCGUGUGCGAAGAAGGCCCUCGGGUCGUAAAGCACUGUCAGAGGGGAAGAUUAUGACGGUACCCUCAAAGGAAGCAACGGCUAAUUACGUGCCAGCAGCCGCGGUAAUACGUAAGUUGCGAGCGUUAUCCGGAAUCACUGGGCGUAAAGCGUUCGUAGGCGGUGCAGCAAGUCGGAUUUGAAAUCCCGGGGCUCAACUCCGGAUCCGGAUUUGAAACUGCUGUGCUUGAGCAGAUCAGAGGGUAGCGGAAUUCCCGGUGUAGCGGUAAUAUGCGUAGAUAUCGGGAGGAACACCAGUGGCGAAGGCGGCUACCUGGGGUCUUGCUGACGCUGAGGAACGAAAGCUAGGGGAGCGAACGGGAUUAGAUACCCCGGUAGUCCUAGCCGUAAACGAUGGGCACUAGGUGUCAGGGGCUUCGACCCCCUUGGCGCCGCCGCUAACGCAUUAAGUGCCCCGCCUGGGAAGUACGGUCGCAAGAUUAAAACUCAAAUGAAUUGACGG